rnacentral:tRNA from 1 species
UCCCCAGUGGCACAAUCGGUUAGCGCGCCGUACUUAUAAUGCGGAGGUUGUGAGUUCAAGCCUCACCUGGGGAA